UUCUGAACUAUUCUCCUUUGGGGAUUUCCUGCCUCUUGGAUACCCUUAAGAGAAAAUAGUGUUACUCUAGUGGUUGCUCUCUGUCCCAGGCUUAGUAUAGUAUAAAAUAGAGUAUGAAAAGGGAUUAAGGGGAGGAGUUUCUGGUGGUAAUUGGUUGGCUUUCAAGAGACUUUCAGUUUAUCCUGGGUAGAAUGAUUAUGAUAUCAGAGUUGGUUAGCCAAUCAAAGCUCCUAGUCACAGUCCUUGGUGACUAAAAUACAACAGUGAGAAACUCCAGCCUGGGUUAUGUAGCCCUGAGAGAAGAGUUUCCUCUGGGUGGCAGUGGUAAUUUUCCAUCUGUUUUAAAAUGAUAUUCCAAAUUGUUCAAGAGGAUGAAGGAAACAGUUUUCCCUUUAUGGCUUUAAUUCUAUUAUAUUUUUCAAAAUUCCCCCUCCUCAUAUCUCUUCCCCUCCCCCAUUGAGCUAUGUUAUUGAAAAAGCAAAUUUGAUGGAAGGGGUUAGGAGGCAGUGGUUAGAAUUAGCAUAUCAAACACACCCAAUAACCAGAAUGGAAAUUAGUGGAAUCUAGGCUUUACUGCUCUGAUGGCUGCACUAAAUUGAGGUUAAUGUCACCCCAUCAGUCCUUUCUGGAUUAAACAAAGAAUGGAGUCACAGAGAAGGGUUGUUGGAGAAAAGGAUGGAACUGGACCUGUGACAUUCGUCUGAGGACCUCCUUUACAGAGGCAUAAGAAAGUUUCUGAGAGUUCUGAAAAUACUUAAGGAUUUUCCAUUGCCUAUAUCAGACCCACCCUCUUCAUUGUCCUUCAUGAGACUGAACUCAAUAUUAAGCCCAGUAGAGGUUUUCAUGGAUGAAAAGGAGAUGACAACAUACCAGGCUUCAUCAGUUAUUUCCACCUCAGUGGACAUCAAGUUGAAAAAGGAUAAAGAAUGGAGAAAGAAAGAAGAAAGGAGAAUGGACUAGAUACUAUCUGAAGAACCUGGUGCUAGAUCUAUGAUUGGAAGACCUGAAGCCUAGUGCUGACAGCCAAUUCCUGAGAAACUAUCCUCGUCCUAUUAAAUCCUAGCUAUUAGAAUUUCACUUUGCUAACUAGUAUGUCUAUAAGCAUUUCUUAAGUUUUUUACUUGAUGCUAGUCAUGCUGCUAAGGGCUGGAAUACAGAAAGGCAAAAACAAUGUGUCCCCAAGGAGCUCACAUUUUAAUGGGUGAGAUAACAUGAGAAAAAAUUUACACACAAGAUACAUGCAAAUGUAUAUGUGGGCAUACCUAUGUAUAUACACAUGCAUACAUAUGUGGAUGUCAUAUUUAUUUUUAGUAAAUAGGAAGUAAUUUUAGAGGGGAAAUACAUAGUAGAAGGAUGGAGAAAGGCCUGCA
rnacentral:lncRNA from 1 species